CGGCAGACGGGUGCGUAACACGUGAGUAAUUUACCUCUAAACCGGAGAUAGCCUUGCGAAAGUAAGGGUAAUACUCGAUGCCCUUUUGACAGCUUAAGCCGUCAAAAGGAAAGGUGGCUCGUAAGGGCUGCUGUUUAGGGAUAAGCUCGCGUCCUAUCAGCUAGUUGGUAGGGUAAUGGCCUACCAAGGCAUUUGACGGGUAGCUGGCCUGAGAGGGUGGUCAGCCACACGGGGACUGAGACACUGCCCCGACUCCUACGGGAGGCUGCAGUCGAGGAUCUUUAGCAAUGGGCGAAAGCCUGACUAUGCGACGCCGCGUGAGGGAUGAAGGUUUUCGGAUCGUAAACCUCUUUCGAUGGGGAAGAACGCUAAUCUAUAAAUAAUGGAUUAGUCUGACGGUACCUAGAGAAGAAGCCACGGCCAACUCCGUGCCAGCAGCCGCGGUAAUACGGAGGUGGCGAGCGUUACUCGGAUUCAUUGGGUGUAAAGGGCAGGUAGGCGUCUUGCCAAGUUAGAAGUGAAAUCCUUUGGCUCAACCAAGGAACUGCUUCUAAAACUGGCAGGAUUGAGGCUGGAAGAGGAGAGCGGAAUUCCCGGUGUAAGGGUGAAAUCUGUAGAUAUCGGGAGGAACACCAGUGGCGAAAGCGGCUCUCUGGUCCGGCCCUGACGCUAGCUGCGAAAGCUAGGGGAGCAAACAGGAUUAGAUACCCUGGUAGUCCUAGCCGUAAACGAUGAGCACUAGGUGUUGGGAGUAACCUUUCAGCGCCGUAGAUACUCGUUAAGUGCUCCACCUGGGGACUACGACCGCAGGUUAAACUCAAGGAAUUGACGGGGCCCGCACAGCGGUGGACAUGUGGUUCAUUCG
rnacentral:rRNA from 1 species